UACGAAGGGGGGCUAGCGUUGCUCGGAAUCACUGGGCGUAAAGCGCACGUAGGCGGAUCCUUAAGUCGGGGGUGAAAUCCUGGAGCUCAACUCCAGAACUGCCUUCGAUACUGAGGAUCUCGAGUCCGGGAGAGGUGAGUGGAACUCCGAGUGUAGAGGUGAAAUUCGUAGAUAUUCGGAAGAACACCAGUGGCGAAGGCGGCUCACUGGCCCGGUACUGACGCUGAGAUACGAAAGCGUGGGGAGCAAACAGG
rnacentral:rRNA from 1 species